rnacentral:rRNA from 1 species
UACGUAGGGUGCGAGCGUUAAUCGGAAUUACUGGGCGUAAAGCGUGCGCAGGCGGUUCGUUAAGUCAGAUGUGAAAGCCCCGGGCUCAACCUGGGAACCGCGCUUGAGACUGGCAUGCUCGAGUUCGGGAGAGGAUGGUGGAAUUCCCAGUGUAGAGGUGAAAUUCGUAGAUAUUGGGAAGAACACCGAUGGCGAAGGCAGCCAUCUGGACCGACACUGACGCUGAGGCGCGAAAGCGUGGGGAGCAAACAGG